GACGAACGCUGGCGGCGUGCUUAACACAUGCAAGUCGAACGGUGAAGCUCCAGCUUGCUGGAGUGGAUCAGUGGCGAACGGGUGAGUAACACGUGAGCAACCUGCCCCUGACUCUGGAAUAAGCGCUGGAAACGGCGUCUAAUACUGGAUACGAGAAGGGUCCGCAUGGGCACUUUCUGGAAAGUUUUUCGGUUGGGGAUGGGCUCGCGGCCUAUCAGCUUGUUGGUGAGGUAAUGGCUCACCAAGGCGACGACGGGUAGCCGGCCUGAGAGGGCGACCGGCCACACUGGGACUGAGACACGGCCCAGACUCCUACGGGAGGCAGCAGUGGGGAAUAUUGCACAAUGGGCGAAAGCCUGAUGCAGCGACGCCGCGUGAGGGAUGACGGCCUUCGGGUUGUAAACCUCUCUCAGCAGGGAAGAAGCGAAAGUGACGGUACCUGCAGAAGAAGCACCGGCUAACUACGUG
rnacentral:rRNA from 1 species